rnacentral:misc_RNA from 1 species
AACGCACAUUGCACCCGGUGGUAUUCUGCCGGGUAUGCCUGUUCGAGCGUCAUUUCUGCCCUCAGGCCUUGCUGCUCAGGCAGCGUAGGUGCUGGUGUUGGGAUUUACAGCGUCGACUUUCGGCGCUGUAGCCCCUAAUUUCAUCGGCGUACGCGUGUACGUUGCCCCCUGCGUAGUGGUUUUUCUCGCAUCGGGCCGUGCCGCCGUGCUGCCGCAACCAACAUACCAUUGAAGUUUGACCUCGAAUCAGGUAGGGAUACCCGCUGAACUUAA